UACCGGGGGGUGAAGCGUUAAUCGGAAUUACUGGGCGUAAAGCGCGCGUAGGCGGCUUCGUCAGUUGGAUGUGAAAGCCCCGGGCUUAACCUGGGAACUGCAUUCAAUACUGCGGAGCUAGAGUAUGGUAGAGGAUAGUGGAAUUCCAGGUGUAGCGGUGAAAUGCGUAGAUAUCUGGAGGAACAUCAGUGGCGAAGGCGACUGUCUGGACCAAUACUGACGCUGAGGUGCGAAAAGCGUGGGGGAGCAAACAGGAUUAGAUACCCGCGUAGUCC
rnacentral:rRNA from 1 species